rnacentral:rRNA from 1 species
AUUGAACGCUGGCGGCAGGCCUAACACAUGCAAGUCGAGCGGAUGAAGGGAGCUUGCUCCUGGAUUCAGCGGCGGACGGGUGAGUAAUGCCUAGGAAUCUGCCUGGUAGUGGGGGAUAACGUCCGGAAACGGGCGCUAAUACCGCAUACGUCCUGAGGGAGAAAGUGGGGGAUCUUCGGACCUCACGCUAUCAGAUGAGCCUAGGUCGGAUUAGCUAGUUGGUGGGGUAAAGGCCUACCAAGGCGACGAUCCGUAACUGGUCUGAGAGGAUGAUCAGUCACGCUGGAACUGGGACACGGUCCAGAAUCCUACGGGAGGCAGCAGUGGGGAAUAUUUGACAAUGGGCGAAAGCCUGAUCCAGCCAUGCCGCGUGUGUGAAGAAGGUCUUCGGAUUUUAAAGCACUUUAAGUUGGGAGGAAGGGCAGUAAGUUAAUACCUUGCUGUUUUGACGUUACCAACAGAAUAAGCACCGGCUAACUUCGUG